rnacentral:lncRNA from 10 species
AAAUCCUGGUGCUGUAGAUUUCAGGGUUCAAUACUAUCAUUUGCUGGACAGAGAAAGAAGGCUGUGGAGAAGGCUGAUAAUGAGGGAGCCGCCAGGAAAAGCAGAGUAAACAAGACUGAGGUUUGCUGCACAGAUUUAAGCCAGAGCCAUCUCUACUGAUGAGUUCCUAGUGAUUUAGAAUCAUCCUGCUUUUCCUGGUACAGAAAGGAAGACAACCCUUACAAAUGGAGACUUCCGAUCAAGCGUGGUGGCUCAUGCCUGUAAUCCCAGCAAUUUGGGAGGCCAAGGCGGGUGGAUCACCUGAGGUCACUAGUUCGAGACCAGCCUGGUCAACAUGGUAAAACCCCAUUUCUGCUAAAAACACAUAAAUUAGCUGGGUGUGGUGUCACGCACCUAUAGUCCCAGCUACUUGGGAGGCCGAGGCAGGAGAUUGCUUGAACCCGGGAGGCGGAGAUUGCCAUGAGCUGAGAUCACGCCACUGCACUCCAGCCUGGUGACAGAGAAAGACUCUGUCUCAAAAAAAAAACAAAACAAAAAAACAAAAACAAAUGGAGACUUCCUUUAUGGAUUAAAUUUCCCUUACAAAAGGGUAAUUUCUACUGUUUUCAGAGCUUCUCCUGUAUCUGUAGCUUCUCAAAAUCAUCAGCUCAAAAUAGUCCUUACGCUAAGGAGGCAUAUUUUGUGCUGGCAUAUGCUGGUCUCCUACAAUAACUUGCCAAAGAUCACAAAACUAAUAAGCGAAUUCGGGCUCCAUGCCUGUGUCCUGCGUCAUCUCACUGCAGAUCUUUACAGGACAAGGCAAGUCACUUGGUAACUUCUAAUUAGAGGGAUCAAGGAAGACUUCAUGGAAGAGGCAGCAUUUGAAUGAAGCCCUGAAAGUAAAGUAAAAGAGCAUUCCAAGUUGGGAGCGUAGAUACAGAGAUGCAAAAAGAAAUGUUUGGGGGUAAGCAUUUGGCCUGGCACAAGAAGGUGGAAGAUAUUGAGGGGGAGCUUGGACUCUCUGCUAAGUGUCUACACACUAUUGUGAAGGUAUUGAGAAGUCAAAGAUUUUUUCUGAGCCGUUUUUUCUAGCCCUUUAAUACAAAAUAGCUAACACCUACGCCAGGCAUGGUGGCUCAAGCCUGUAACCCCAGCACUUUCAGAGACCAAGGCUGGAGGAUUGUUUGAAGCCAGGAGUUCAAGACCACCCUUGCCAACAUAAUGAGACCCCCAUCUGUAUAUAUAUAAAAAAAUCA